GCUAUCGGCGGUCGGACCUGGAGCCGCUGCAUCGGGAAGGGAUGCGGGGGUCGAGAUCCUUCUGGAGGGGGCUUUGGGGAGGACGGGAGGUCGAGAUGCACCAGCCGCUGCUGCCCUUCAGACUCUGCCCGCCCUCCUCCUACCCUACCCCUUGCAGAAAUGCCGGGACGUGGGGCCGCGCAGGGACCGAGCAUAUGUGACACCUGCGGUUCUCGGUGGCUUCCAUUCUCUCCCACUCUCUCCUCCCACUCCUUAUGCUGAUCUCCUGCCUUCCAGAUGUUUAUUUUCAUCAGUCUAUCGCUUCUUGCCUGGAAUAGGGUACUCGGAAGUUGGAGACGGAUUUCAAACCUUAGCCCUACCACUUCUGUGUUAAAAGUCCCUGAGCCACAGUAUUUCUUCUGCUGGCUUCUUCUGAUCUUACGGAUCAGUAUGACACCAAUAAAAAGAAAGGAGGUGGACGUCUGUUGAAUUCCUGCAUGGUCAUGUGUACCGAGCAAACUGCUGCCCCAUGGAAUCCUCAUUACUUGGUGUUCUUAGAACUCCCAUUUCACAUCUUAACUUCACUUCAGUGAGCAGCAAGAGAUUCAUUCCUACCUAACUGGUUAGUUUAGCUCCACAGUAGGAACUUUGAACCCAGACGCUUCCGGUCUGGAUCCUGGUUGGACUGUUUGGCUGCCAAACUCCUAGCCCCAGAUCAACUACUUCCUCUUUUCCAGCUGAGAAUUCUUUUCACAUCCCCUUUGCAAGUACAGAAUGCUGUUCCCUGCUUCUCCCUUGGUUAUUUCAGAAACGAAACAGAGCAAGCAUUUCUUACAUGCUCUAAGGAGAUGCCCUUUUUGAGUACAGAAUCUUGGAUUUUGGUCCUGGCUUUGCCACCUAAUGUGUGGCCUUGAGCAAAUUCAUUGUCUUCUAGCUUUGGCUUGCCUUUGCAUAACAUGGGUGAGGGCCUUCUGACCUGCAGGCUCUUGUCCAGUUCUCCCUCACUGUCCUCCAGCAGGCACUCCACGGAGGCCCAGACCCCUCUGCUCCCCAUGGGCAGCUGCCAGGCAGGGCACAACCUGCAUCUCUGCCUGGCUCAUCACCCACCUCUGGUCUGUGCCACUUUGAUCCUGCUGCUCCUUGGCCUCUCCGGCCUGGGCCUUGGUGGCUUCCUCCUCACCCAUACAUCUGGCCUACGUAGCCCUGACAUUCCCCAGGAUUGGGUUUCCUUCUUGAGGUCUUUUGGCCAGCUGAGCUUGUGCCCCGUGAAUGGGACAGUCACGGGGAAGUGGCGAGGGCCUCACGUCGUCGGCUUACUGACUACUUUGAACUUCGGAGAUGGUCCAGAUAGGAACAAAACCCAAACGUUCCAAACCAAGAUCCAUGGUAGUCAGAUAGGAUUGAAAGGGUCCUCUGGAGGAGAGUCUAUCCUUGUCACAGCGAGAGUGACCUCAGGAAGGAUUCCAGAGACUUGCCUCUAUUUCAGUGCUGGUCCAGAAAUCCUGCCCUCUAGCCAGCCACCUAUAGCCUGCUCAGAGGAGGGAGCUGGAAAUGCUACCCUGAGCCCUGUGAUGGGUGAAGAGUGUGUCAGGGUCUGGAGCCACGAACGCUUUGUGCUCACCAAGCCCCUUACUUCGGGUAUGGGACAAGAUAUCUUCCCACCGGAAGGUUCCCAACCCUGUCUGUCAUCUCCCUUCCCUCCCUGUUCCUACCACUAGGAGGAGCUAGCUCUGUGUGGCACCCGACUGCUGGUCCUGGGCUUGGUCCUGCUUCUCUCCUGUGGUUUUCUCUGCUGUGUCUCGGCUGUGUGUUUCCAUCCGCGCCCAGAGUUCCACUGGUCUAGAACAAGGCUUUGAGGGCACCAGCCUGCUCCUUACUCUCUUCUCAGGUGAAGAUCAAACUCUUGGGCCUACUUCUGAGUUUAGAAGACCUGUUACAAAAAACAAAGAACUGAAAUGUGGGGAAAUAAAUGGCUUUUUGACCA